rnacentral:rRNA from 1 species
AUGUCGUGGAACGUUAGGGGCAUCAACGCUCCAGCUAAGCGCUCAGCAAUCUGUGAGGUGGCCACAACGCUCAAGACAGCAAUCCUAACGCUGCAAGAGACGAAGGUGGAAGUGUGGACGACGGGUAUAGCAAAGGAAAUCGGCGGCCCAAUGCUGCAAGGCUGUGCAGUGCUACCUGCUAUGGGCACAAGAGGGGGAGCUGCCAUUUUUUGGAACAAAGAGAUUGUUGAGGUCGAAUCACACUCCAUUGGACGGUUUACAAUCACAGCCAAAGUGAAGGAAUUGGGAACGAACAUUCAGUUC